GGGUGAGUAAUGUAUCGGAACGUGCCUAGUAGCGGGGGAUAACUACGCGAAAGCGUAGCUAAUACCGCAUACGCCCUACGGGGAAAGGGGGGAUCGCAAGACCUCUCACUAUUGGAGCGGCCGAUAUCGGAUUAGCUAGUUGGUGAGGUAACGGCUCACCAAGGCGACGAUCCGUAGCUGGUUUGAGAGGACGACCAGCCACACUGGGACUGAGACACGGCCCAG
rnacentral:rRNA from 1 species